UACAGAGGGGGCAAGCGUUGUUCGGAAUUACUGGGCGUAAAGGGCGCGUAGGCGGCCUUCUAAGUCGAACGUGAAAUCCCCGGGCUCAACCCGGGAACUGCGUCCGAUACUGGAAGGCUUGAAUCCGGGAGAGGGAUGUGGAAUUCCAGGUGUAGCGGUGAAAUGCGUAGAUAUCGUAAGGAAGACCAGUGGCGAAGGCGGGUCUCUGGACAGUUCCUGACGCUGAGGCACGAAGGUCAGGGGAGCAAACGGG
rnacentral:rRNA from 1 species